UUUAAAACCUGGGUAUUUGUUCUAGACCUGGCUUACCCGAGCGGACAACUCGAGCCGAGGGGGAGGCGGCAAUCCGGGAAUACAGAAGUUUCUUCGGCUUUGAGACUUAUCCAAGCCUCGUUUUAAAUUGGGAUUUUGAUACUAGACAGAAAAGAAGUCGUACACCGUACACCCUUCUUCACAAUUCAGAAGACUUAGAAAGGAGAUUUGGUUCGGCACAAUUUAUAUACAGUUCACAAUAAUAUCAAAGCGGUAAAAGCAGUCAACUAGCACAUUAGGCACAUAUCAUGUAACAAAAUCAGAUAAAUGCAAACGCAACAAUUAUUCUAAACAAGAAUUAUGAACCCUGAACAAAACGUUCUGGUUUCUUUUCCCCAGCAGAGUCGCCAGAGCUGUCACACCUCCUUUUUUACACACCUACCCCAAAGGAUAAUGUAUAGGGGAGUUUUUCCAUUUAAAGUGACAUUAUUCGGAUCGGGUCAUCAC
rnacentral:lncRNA from 1 species